rnacentral:rRNA from 1 species
AUACGUAGGGAGCGAGCGUUGUCCGGAAUUACUGGGUGUAAAGGGAGGGUAGGCGGGAGUGCAAGUCAGAUGUGAAAUACAUGGGCUCAACCCAUGGGCUGCAUUUGAAACUGCAUUUCUUGAGUGAAGUAGAGGUAAGCGGAAUUCCUGGUGUAGCGGUGAAAUGCGUAGAUAUCAGGAGGAACACCGGUGGCGAAGGCGGCUUACUGGGCUUUUACUGACGCUGAGGCUCGAAAGCGUGGGGAGCAAACAGGAUUAGAUACCCUGGUAGUCCACGCUGUAAACGAUGAUUACUAGGUGUGGGGGGACUGACCCCUUCCGUGCCGCAGUUAACACAAUAAGUAAUCCACCUGGGGAGUACGGCCGCAAGGUUGAAACUCAAAUGAAUUGACGGGG